rnacentral:tRNA from 1 species
GCGGGAGUAACUCAGUUGGUAGAGUAACAGCCUUCCAAGCUGUUCGUCGCGAGUUCGAGCCUCGUCUCCCGCU